AAUUACGUUUCCACGUAAAACUGCAUUGGCAUCGCAGGUUUUAUUGAGAUGCAUCCCUCCACGGUAUCGCGCCAAAAUCGCGCGAUAAUACCUCCCUCUCUUCCUCAAAACCGCGAAAAAGCUACUUCCAGGGUUUCAUCAUUUUUGCCCCUUUCCGCUCAAGCGCUCUAUGGCGUUUGGGAGUUUCCUUCUCCCGUGCUUUGGCAAAGAUUAGAGCAAUCUCUUCGCGGUUCUCGAUGCCAUCGAUCCGAAUAGAAAGUGAUGAGCACUCGAGGAGCCUCUUAACGAACUGGAGAUUCAAUUCACUUAAUGAAGCUUGGGAUGAAUUAUAUUCAUCAGGGUUGGUAGGGCAGUAAAUGUUGAAGAACACUUGUUGCACAAUUAGAGACUUCAGGACCUUGUUAUACCCCACGUAGGGUAUCGUAUCACUCAUGGAGUAUUGGGGGACUUACACUGUUCUGUAUAAUAUAAGUAGGCUAUAGCUGCUAUUACACGACCUUUACAAUAAUGCUUUUGGUUGUUAGGCUUCCUCAGGUUUCUUUUACUAUAUCAAACAAGUGAUGAACUUCUAAUUGUUUCAAAGGUGGUAUCCUUUGCAGCAAGCUCUUGCUAUCUAUAGUUUAUUUGUUUCUCAAGAUUUAAUUAAUUGCACUUUGUUACAGUUGUUUUGGAGUCAGUUUCAAUGUCUUGUUCAAAGCAUUGUUCUGCAGCUUGGUUUGUGAUUGAAAAAUUAUAGAGGCUCUUAUAAUAAAAUUUGCAUUUAGAUUUCUA